UAGGGAAUCUUCCACAAUGGGCGAAAGCCUGAUGGAGCAACGCCGCGUGUGUAAUGAAGGGUUUCGGCUCGUAAAACACUGUUGUAAGAGAAGAAUGACAUUGAGAGUAACUGUUCAAUGUGUGACGGUAUCUUACCAGAAAGGAACGGCUAAAUACGUGCCAA
rnacentral:rRNA from 1 species